rnacentral:lncRNA from 1 species
CUUCCGGUGGGAAGGAUACGAGCAAGAUAAAGCAGCGAGGGAUUUAAGUCUGGCAACAGUUGGACUGCUGGAUUUUCAGAGAAGUGUUCCCCAAAGCAAAUUAUAGUGCUAAUUUCCAAUGUUCCAUAAGCGUGGCAAGAAAAAUGGGAAGUUCUCGGUAAGGUAUAUAGUAUUAUUUCUAGAAAUAAAGAUGAACCAAUCCAAGAUUGAUUUUUUGUUUGUUUAAUCCUGGCAGUAUUCUUAACUAAAUUGUAUUCAUUCUUCCCUUUACUUUCCAGACUUUUUAAUUUUAUUUAUUUUUUUAUUUUUUGAGACAGAGUCUUGCCCAGGCAGAGGUUGCAGUGAGCUGAGAUAGCACCACUGCACUCCAGCCUGAGCGACAGAAUGAGACUCCAUCUCAAACAAACAAAAAAGUCUAAAUGUCCUCAAUUCUGUCCGUGUGUGGCACUAGUGAAGUAAUUUCUGGCAAAUGCUUUAUCAGCAUUUUCUUUCCAUAGUUUAUAGA